rnacentral:rRNA from 1 species
GAUGAACGCUGGCGGCGUGCCUAACACAUGCAAGUCGAGCGAUUCUYUUCGGAGAAGAGCGGCGGACGGGUGAGUAACGCGUGGGUAACCUACCCUGUACACACGGAUAACAUACCGAAAGGUAUGCUAAUACGGGAUGAUAUAUAGAAAUCGCAUGAUUUUUAUAUCAAAGAUUUAUCGGUACAGGAUGGACCCGCGUMUGAUUAGCUUGUUGGCGGGGUAMCGGCCCACCAAGGCGACGAUCAGUAGCCGACCUGAGAGGGUGAUCGGCCACAUUGGAACUGAGACACGGUCCAAACUCCUACGGGAGGCAGCAGUGGGGAAUAUUGCACAAUGGGCGCAAGCCUGAUGCAGCAACGCCGCGUGAGCGAUGAAGGCCUUCGGGUMGUAAAKCUYUGUCCUCAAGGAAGAUAAUGACGGUACUGAGARWARSCCCC